CGUGGGGAGCAAACAGGAUUAGAUACCUGGUAGUCACGCUGUAAACGAUGUCGAUUUGGAGGUUGCUCCCUUGAGGAGUGGCUUCCGGAGCUAACGCGUUAAAUCGACCGCUGGGGAGUACGGCCGCAAGGUUAAAACUCAAAUGAAUUGACGGGGGCCCGCACAAGCGGUGGAGCAUGUGGUUUAAUUCGAUGCAACGCGAAGAACCUUACCUACUCUUGACAUCCAGAGAAUUUAGCAGAGAUGCUUUAGUGCCUUCGGGAACUCUGAGACAGGUGCUGCAUGGCUGUCGUCAGCUUGUGUUGUGAAAUGUUGGGUUAAGUCCCGCAACGAGCGCAACCCUUAUCCUUUGUUGCCAGCACGUUAUGGUGGGAACUCAAAGGAGACUGCCGGUGAUAAACCGGAGGAAGGUGGGGAUGACGUCAAGUCAUCAUGGCCCUUACGAGUAGGGCUACACACGUGCUACAAUGGCGUAUACAAAGAGAAGCGACCUCGCGAGAGCAAGCGGAACUCAUAAAGUGCGUCGUAGUCCGGAUUGGAGUCUGCAACUCGACUCCAUGAAGUCGGAAUCGCUAGUAAUCGUAGAUCAGAAUGCUACGGUGAAUACGUUCCCGGGCCUUGUACACACCGCCCGUCACACCAUGGGAGUGGGUUGCAAAAGAAGUAGGUAGCUUAACCUUCGGGAGGGCGCUUACCACUUUGUGAUUCAUGACUGGGGUGAAGUCGUAACAAGGUAACCA
rnacentral:rRNA from 1 species